UUGAGAGGGGUUCUGGUGACAAAGCCAUGAGCACAGAGCUCAGUGACUGGUUUAAAUAUAAUUUAUUAAAGCAGUUAAUAUGUAAAAAGCACCAGUGUAUUGACCCUUAGGAAACUGGCUAGUGACUGGAUCACUGACUGUACUGAGGGGAGGAAAGACACACAACUGGUCUUGCUGUAGAAACAUUCUCUUAUGUAACAAACUGACAUUUGAUCCUGUGUUUUGAUACCACUCCAAAAACAGGUUCAAUAUUUGCAGAUAAACACCCAUGGAGAUCUUACGUGUAUCUACAUUGCAUUAUGAAAAAGUCAAACGGAGAUUGGGCUGAUCUACAUUGAAAAAAGUUACAUCAGCAUAACUACAUUUCUCAGGUGCAUGAAAAUCCACACCCUGAGAGAUAGUUAAUCUGACCUAACCCUGGGCGUAGACAGCGGUAGGUCAACAGAAGAAUUCUUCCAUCAACCUAGCUACCGCCUCUCAGAGAGUUGGAUUAGCUAUAGCCACAGAAGACCCUCUCCCAUCACUGUACUAAGUGCCUACACCGAAGCACUGCAGCUGUGCCACUGUAGCAUUUUAAGUGAAUACAUAGCCAUAGAGGAACCAGAUUUAAAAAAAAAAAAAGUUCUUUAAUCCUAGAGAACUAUUUUCCUAAGUUUUUUUUAUUUGAGAACAGGGCAGU